UAUACCUAUUCGAAGGGAUAGGGUCGGUUUGGCCGGAUUUUACACAGGUGUUGCAUGGCUGUCGUCAGCUCGUGUCGUGAGAUGUUGGGUUAAGUCCCGCAACGAGCGCAACCCUCAUCCUUAGUUGCCAUCAGGUAAUGCUGAGCACUUUAAGGAAACUGCCAGUGAUAAGCUGGAGGAAGAUGGGGAUGAUGUCAAGUCAUCAUGGCCUUUAUGAAGUGGGCUACACACGUGCUACAAUGGUGUUUACAGUGGGCUGCAAGGUCGCAAGGCUAAGCUAAUCCUUAAAAGACAUCUCAGUUCGGAUUGUACUCUGCAACUCGAGUGCAUGAAGUUGGAAUCGCUAGUAAUCGUGGAUCAGCAUGCCACGGUGAAUACGUUCUCGGGUCUUGUACACACUGCCCGU
rnacentral:rRNA from 1 species